rnacentral:rRNA from 1 species
CCUACGGGGGGCAGCAGUGAGGAAUAUUGGUCAAUGGGCUUACGCCUGAACCAGCCAAGUCGCGUGAGGGAAGACUGCCCUAUGGGUUGUAAACCUCUUUUGUCAGGGAGCAACGCCGGCUACGUGUAACCGGACUGAGAGUACCUGAAGAAAAAGCAUCGGCUAACUCCGUGCCAGCAGCCGCGGUAAUACGUAGGGGGCAAGCGUUUCCCGGAUUUCUUGGGUGUAAGGGGAGCGUAGACGGCGGUGCAAGUCUGGAGUGAAAGGCGGGGGCUCAACCCCCGGACUGCUCUGGAAACUGGACGGCUGGAGUGCAGGAGAGGUAAGUGGAAUUCCUGGUGUAGCGGUGAAAUGCGUAGAUAUUAGGAGGAACACCAGUGGCGAAGGCGGCUUACUGGACUGUAACUGACGUUGAGGCUCGAAAGCGUGGGGAGCAAACAGGAUUAGAUACCCGAGUAGUC